UCAAAUCUAGUGGAGCUUUCAGCAUUAACUGAACUUCAACACUUUUGAGUUUAAUAAUACUUUUCUUCUGUUGUUUUCUUCAAUACAGUUGAAAUUUAGCAUCUUUUAUUUUCUUCCACUAGAAUUUUCUUACAGAUACCUGUGAAGCCAAGAUUAGUUAUAAUCUGUUAUGGACAUGCUGAGGUGUCAUAUGAGCUGGCAUAAGUGAGAUCCUAAGUUUUAAAUCUGUAAAUUGGUGACUCGGUUGUAACCAUCUUCUUCUUGUUGUUCAAUAAAGUUUCUGCCCUUGCUGGGUCUUACAGCAGUGGAUGUAGGUUCCUUUGUGGAGCUGAACCACGUUAGUUCUUGGUGUAGUGUAUCUUUUGAUUCUUUGAUACUUAGUUUGUUCUGUUCUUAAUCUUGUUUCUGUAAGCUCUGGUUUUGUGGGUUGCUUAAUUCUUGUUCAAGAGAGGGAAGUAAUACGUUUUGCCAUAACAAUCUGGUAUCAGAGCCUGGUUUCAGCUGGGAUCAGACUCAAAGAUUACCAAAGCUGAAGCUUGUCGGCAUUAACUGAACAUCAACACUUUAAUACAGUUGAAAUUAAUAUUAAUUUUCCGCUGUUGUUUUCUUUAAUACAGUUGAAAUUUAGCAUCUUCUAUUUUCUUCCAGCAGAAUUUUCUAUCAGAUACUGAAGCUGAAGCUUUUCUAUGCUUCCUGUUUCUUGAAGUAUUAUUAUCUUCUUAUGAAACAAUUGUACAUUAUCUUUUGCAUUUCCUUAAUGCUCCAAGAAGCAUGGUUAUGAAGAAAACUAGUCCUUGGUGCAGUAUAUUCUGGUCACUAGCAGUUCAAAAAGUUAGUUGAUAUGAUGUGAUAUUCAAGUUGUGUAUAAAAGAAUGUAACAGGCUAAAUCUUUUGGGCCAAAUAUUUCUGUAAUAUUUAAUGUCAUUUUACAGGUUAUCCCUGGUGGAACCUUUUUUUUUUUU
rnacentral:lncRNA from 1 species